rnacentral:rRNA from 1 species
UACGUAGGGUGCAAGCGUUAAUCGGAAUUACUGGGCGUAAAGCGUGCGCAGGCGGUUUUGUAAGUCUGUCGUGAAAGGCCCGGGCUCAACCUGGGAAUUGCGAUGGAGACUGCAAGGCUUGAAUCUGGCAGAGGGGGGUAGAAUUCCACGUGUAGCAGUGAAAUGCGUAGAGAUGUGGAGGAACACCGAUGGCGAAGGCAGCCCCCUGGGUCAAGAUUGACGCUCAUGCACGAAAGCGUGGGGAGCAAACAGG